rnacentral:lncRNA from 1 species
GGAAGGCCGGUUCGGAUUAUAGGCCAACGGGUAAAGGUUGUGGGCCGAAAGCAAGUCAAGAUGGUUCAGGUUGUUUGGGAUUGUGAUGGGAAAGAAAAAACUACUUGGGAACCAGAAUCGAGUAUGAAGGAGAAAUUUUCUAAGUGGUUUGAGAAGCAACCAAAACAGAAGAAGGAAAAGCUGAGGAAGAGAAGAGAUUCAAGGACGAGUCUCACCAUAAGUGGGGGAGACUUGUAACUGAUAACACCG